UACGGGGGGGCAAGCGUUGUUCGGAAUUACUGGGCGUAAAGCGUACGUAGGCGGCUUUGUAAGUUAGAGGUGAAAGCCCGGGGCUCAACUCCGGAACUGCCUUUAAGACUGCAUCGCUAGAAUCCGGGAGAGGUGAGUGGAAUUCCGAGUGUAGAGGUGAAAUUCGUAGAUAUUCGGAAGAACACCAGUGGCGAAGGCGGCUCACUGGACCGGCAUUGACGCUGAGGUACGAAAGCGUGGGGAGCAAACAGG
rnacentral:rRNA from 1 species